rnacentral:lncRNA from 1 species
UUCUAUACUUUUUUUUUUUCCGUUACCGUUCAAUCACUCCCACUCAACGGUACAGAUUUAAUUUUCUUAAAAUUGUGACCUACAAUAGCAGGUCAUUUUAGGAGUGGCACCGGUCACCGGGUACUUCAAAAAAAAAUAUUUUUAUCUUUUAAUAUAUGAGCAAUUUAGUCAUUUUAUCUCUAUUAUAUUAUUAAAAUUUUAUUCUCUCUUUAUUUCUUUUUUCUCUCUCUAUUUUUCCUCUCAUAUUUGGUAUUUCAUAUCAGAAAAUUUUCAAAUUAUUUGACAACAAGAACAUGAGAUUAUUUUGUGAACCAACUAUGGAUUUUUUUCUAUAUCCAUCUUGAAUCCAACCCGAAUCAUAUAUAAAGUUUAAUAUUAUAUUUGAAUUUAUAUUUUAAAAUUUUAAAUUUAAUAUAAAAUAUUUUGAAAUAUGGUAAAAAGAAAUAAUUGUUUCGGGUUCCAGUCUUCCAGUUUGGAUUUGGUUUUGGGUUUCAAAAAAUUGGUUAGUUUCGGGUUUAGAUAUGGAUUUUUGAAAUCCAUCGAGUUUAGAAAUAGAUUUUGUGAUUGUUAAUCAGAUUCGAAUUCAAAUUUCUAACCUUUUUUUUUUCU